rnacentral:rRNA from 1 species
UAAGGAACUCGGCAAAAUGACCCCGUAACUUCGGGAGAAGGGGUGCUCUAUUAGGGUGCAAGCCCGAGAGAGCCGCAGUGAAUAGGCCCAGGCGACUGUUUAGCAAAAACACAGGUCUCUGCAAAACCGUAAGGUGACGUAUAGGGGCUGACGCCUGCCCGGUGCUGGAAGGUUAAGAGGAGUGCUUAGCUUCGGCGAAGGUACGAAUUGAAGCCCCAGUAAACGGCGGCCGUAACUAUAACGGUCCUAAGGUAGCGAAAUUCCUUGUCGGGUAAGUUCCGACCCGCACGAAAGGCGCAACGAUCUGGGCACUGUCUCAACGAGAGACUCGGUGAAAUUAUAGUACCUGUGAAGAUGCAGGUUACCCGCGACAGGACGGAAAGACCCCGUGGAGCUUUACUGCAACCUGAUAUGGAAUGUUUGUACCGCUUGUACAGGAUAGGUAGGAGCCGAAGAGACGUGUGCGCUAGCAUACGAGGAGGCAAUGGUGGGAUACUACCCUGGCUGUAUGACCAUUCUAACCCGCCACGCUUAGCGCGUGGGGAGACAGUGUCAGGUGGGCAGUUUGACUGGGGCGGUCGCCUCCUAAAGAGUAACGGAGGCGCCCAAAGGUUCCCUCAGAAUGGAUGGAAAUCAUUCGCAGAGUGUAAAGGCACAAGGGAGCUUGACUGCGAGACUGACA